rnacentral:lncRNA from 1 species
GAUGGAGCUGAAUCCCGUCCCUGAUACUUUGUAGAUUAUUUUUUUAUGGAGUUUGAUAUGUAUAUAUUUUUUAUAUUUUCAAAGUACAUUGUAAUUCAUAACUUUUUAUGUAAAUUUAAUCAGAUAUGACAAUAUAAAUAUUUCGAAUGAUCUGAAUAUUUGUAUCAAUAUCAAUGUAAUUUGAAUGUUUGGUUCAUAUUGUAUAAUGUGUGUUUUAUGAUAUAUGUAAAUUUAUACAGUUUGAUAUUUUUAAUUUUUU